UUUGAUUCUUCAAGAUUAAGGUCCAGUGAUUUGCUUGCAUAUUUUCCUUUUGAUAUCAGAUCACUGUGUCAAAAUGCACAUAUCUUUAUCUUGUCUUCGCAUAUGAAAACACAUUUAAGAGUUUGAAAAGAAGAUCUAUAUCAUUUCAAGGUUUAGUGACGAUUAUAGUUUGAAAUAGGAAAUAGCUAUGCUUGAUUUAAUCUUGGUUUUUGGUAAUGUCCUUUUACUUGGGAAUUUGAUUACGAUGAGAAACAGUGAAACUUCCUGGCAUGACAAUAUCAUUGACUUUGACUUCUAAAUCAGUCCUAAAGAAUUGUGUUCUGUGGUUCAAGGAAACAAGGUGUUAAACAAUGUACAAUUUGAACCGCUAAUUGUUAAAAGAUCCUCAGCCAGUUCUCGCUUUUCCAGUGUGAGUUAGGACUGCCUGUUGGUUGCUCAAAGCACAUUGCUCAGCAAUGUUAUUACCAUUGAAUCUUUCUAUUGGCCUCAUAUAUGAUGCUCUGUAGCACUGUGUGUACCACUACGAUGCCCUUGACUGGCUGUAAGCUCCAGAAGAUAAAUACAAGGUCGCUAAAAGAUGGGGUCAGAUUCAUAUUUUGAAUCGCAAAUGGUUUGAUCAAUCAACUUCCAGGAAAGGGUAGUUCCAUGUCUUUAGUGAAAAUUGCAAGUAGUCAGCAAAAUCUCUACAGAGUUAUUAGAAGUUCACAGUCUCUCCCCUCUUCAAUGGUUGGAGAUCAGGACUUCCAUUCCAUUUCAGUUAUACUCACCAUGCCGAUCCAGAUUUAGAAACUACUCUCUCACAGAAUGUGUCUUCAAUGUUUGUGGAUCUCCAUUUCCUUGCAGAAGAGGAUAAUAGUGAUGUGGCAGCUGUGCAAUCCAAUGGUGAAGUGAAUCAUGAUGGUUGGGUUGCUGUAGACUCUGAAAAUGAAGACAAUGACCUGUAUUUGUCAGAAUGUAGGUUAACAUCAUCAAAUGCUCGAUUUCUCCAAGAGUGUUCCUAAAAGAAGUGAUCUGCAACUACCAUUCAAAGUUGGCUUGAAGAUAGAGUAUAUCAUCGCACACUGCUUUCUCUCAUUUCAUUAUGAUUGUCUGUGCUCUUCAUGUGAACAACGGGAAGGCUGAAAUGUUAGUAUUGCCGAAUAGGACAGUAGUUGCUGAUUCACAUGACAUUUGGCUGUCUUUCACAUAUGAUUAGUGGCUGAAGGCUGCGAUCCUUUAAAUGGCUUUGUCAGCUUGCGACUCUCCAAUUUGAGAAUACCACGCACUUCAUGACAUGGGUGGCCAAUUUUGCCGAAUGAAAUCAUUGUGUUUACAUGUUAAAAGAUGACGCAUGACUAUAGUUAAUUUGUGUUAAAGACAAUCUUUCAGCUCUUCCCGCUAAUGGCAUGCAUAUAGUUUCCAGGAUGGUAUAUGCUUGUAAGUAAUAAACGGUUUCAUAUGGUUUUCU